rnacentral:rRNA from 1 species
UACGAAGGGGGCUAGCGUUGCUCGGAAUCACUGGGCGUAAAGCGCACGUAGGCGGCUAUUGAUAGUCAGGGGUGAAAUCCUGGAGCUCAACUCCAGAACUGCCUUUGAUACUGGGUCGAGUCUCGAGUCCGGGAAGAGGUGAGUGGAACUGCGAGUGUAGAGGUGAAAUUCGUAGAUAUUCGCAAGAACACCAGUGGCGAAGGCGGCUCACUGGUCCGGUACUGACGCUGAGGUGCGAAAGCGUGGGGAGCAAACAGG